rnacentral:lncRNA from 1 species
AUGGCCGGGAGGGACGGGGCGGCCCCGGGGAGACCCGUCGAGAACAAAGCAGGAUGCGGGGAGAGGAGGGAGAAUGGCUCGUCGUGGGGUUUCCCCAGUUUUUUUCUUUUUUUUCUUUUUUUUUUUUUUUUUCCCCCCCCCCCCCCCCCCCCCCCCCCCCCCCCCCCCCCCCCCCCCCCCCCCCCCCCCCCCCCCCCCCCCCCCCCCCCCCCCCCCCCCCCCCCCCCCCCCCCCCCCCCCCCCCCCCCCCCCCCCCCCCCCCCCCCCCCCCCCCCCCCCCCCCCCCCCCCCCCCCCCCCCCCCCCCCCCCCCCCCCCCCCCCCCCCCCCCCCCCCCCCCCUUUUUUUUUUUUUUUUUUUUUUUUUUUUUUUUUUCCCGGGAAAGGGUGUUUUCCGGGCAGCAACGUGUCUGUCCUCGCUGCCUGCGGCUUUGCGGAGGAUUCUUGGAGGUGUCUGGCGAGAAAAAAAGGCUUCACAGUGCAUCCCUGCCGAGCUGCGGGCAGCGGAGGUGCCGCUCACCACCCGGCCAAGGGGUGUGGGAGGUCGCUGCUGGCAAAAUCUGGCCAAAAAUCUGGCCAAAAAAAAAAAAAAAAAAUCUGGCAAAACCAAACCGCAAAAAUCUGGCCAAAAAAAAAAAAAAAAAAAAUCUGGCAAAACCAAACCGCGCUCCACACACGUGGGGAAGGCAAGGGAAACAUUCCUAGCGGCGGGAGGGAGCGUCAGGGAGCCGGGAGCAGCCUCGGGAAGGGUUCAGGUGUGCUGGGAGCGGGGACAGGAAGCACAACGGGGGGAUGUUGGCAGCCAGAGCCCCGGCGAGGGUGCCCGGAGGUCUGGGAGCCCUCGGGGGCUGUGGGACAGGAGAGCCCGGGAUGUCCCACGUGUGCCGAGCUGGGCGUCCCCAUCUCCAUCCCCUGCUCCUCUCCAAAGUGACAACAACCCCCCUCCCGACAUCCCCUUGGCAGCGCAAUUUCCAAAUAUUUUCCUUUCCAGCAGCUCUCCCUUUCACAGGGACCGGUGCUGUUGGCCCGGGAUGUGUUUUUUCCUCGGUGACUCGGCUUUGGAGAGGGGAUGCAGGGAGACCUCUCUCCCUGCAUGCUCCGGUUUGGCAUCCUCCACCACGCCGAGGCUUCUUCCUCCCUUUGCUGUCACGGAAGAGGAGCAGAAGGAAAAACGCUCCCCUGGAGUGAUCCAAGCAUCCCUCCCACUCCCAACCUGCCUCCGGACCGACGUUUCCUGCCCCUGGAAUUUGUUUAUUCGAGGCUCCUCGGUGCUUAUUUCAUGGCCUGGAGCAGGAAAAGGACUUUAG